CAUACAGUACCAUCAGUCCCGGUGCUCGACCGAGAUGUUUUUCCUGCAUAAAAGAAGUUUACAAUCCAUGGGACAUUCAUCCUUCACGCGGCAUGGCUGGGUCAGACUUGCGUCCAUUGCCCAAUAUUCCUUA
rnacentral:rRNA from 1 species